rnacentral:rRNA from 1 species
AUUGAACGCUGGCGGCAGGCCUAACACAUGCAAGUCGAGCGGAUGAAGGGGGCUUGCUCCCGGAUUCAGCGGCGGACGGGUGAGUAAUGCCUAGGAAUCUGCCUGGUAGUGGGGGAUAACGUCCGGAAACGGGCGCUAAUACCGCAUACGUCCUGAGGGAGAAAGUGGGGGAUCUUCGGACCUCACGCUAUCAGAUGAGCCUAGGUCGGAUUAGCUAGUUGGUGGGGUAAAGGCCUACCAAGGCGACGAUCCGUAACUGGUCUGAGAGGAUGAUCAGUCACACUGGAACUGAGACACGGUCCAGACUCCUACGGGAGGCAGCAGUGGGGAAUAUUGGACAAUGGGCGAAAGCCUGAUCCAGCCAUGCCGCGUGUGUGAAGAAGGUCUUCGAAUUGUAAAGCACUUUAAGUUGGGAGGAAGGGCAGUAAGUUAAUACCUUGCUGUUUUGACGUUACCAACAGAAUAAGCACCGGCUAACUUCGUG